CCUACGGGAGGCAGCAGUGGGGAAUAUUCCGCAAUGGGCGAAAGCCUGACGCAGCGACGCCGCGUGAGGGAUGAAGGUCUUCGGAUCGUACACCUCUGUCAGCAGGGAAGAACGGUCACUGUGCUAAUCAGCAGUCAAUUGACGGUACCUGCAAAGGAAGCACCGGCUAACUACGUGCCAGCAGCCGCGGUAAUACGGAGGGUGCGAGCGUUAAUCGGAAUUACUGGGCGUAAAGCGCGCGUAGGCGGUAUGUCAAGUCAAGGGUGAAAUCCCCGGGCUCAACGUGGGAACUGCCUUUGAAACUGGCAGACGGGAGUGUGUGAGAGGAUAGUGGAAUGCCAGGUGUAGGGGUGAAAUGCGUAGAUAUCUGGAGGAACAUCAGUGGCGAAGGCGACUAUCUGGCACAUAACUGACGCUGAGGAGCGAAAGCGUGGGUAGCAAACAGGAUUAGAUACCCCAGUAGUC
rnacentral:rRNA from 1 species